AGGGGAGGGAGGGAAGAAAGAGGAGAAAGGGAGGGGGCGAAGGAUGGGUGGCACUGAUAGACCGCCGGACCUUACGGUCAUCAUCCCAGCACUUGGAGGAAGAGGCAGGAGGACCUCCGUGAGUUUGAGAACAGAGCUCAAGGCAAGCCAGGGCUACGUGGCAAGACCCCGACUACAAAACAAAGCAUCCCCCAAACCCAAAACAGGCCCUAAGGGUCCCGAGGCGCAUCAGGAAGGGAGGCAGCUUUGCCACGCCGUCGUCAUGGAGGCAGAGGGUCAAGGGUCAGGUCCGCCCUCUAGGAAAGAAGUUUCAGCCUCUGGUUUUGUGCCAAGGGCAGAGUGACAUGGACUUAGUCCCUCUGCUUGGUUCCUGGAACACAGUAGAUGCUCAAUAAAUAUUUGUCAAAGGAA